UGCUCAAUUGAUUGUACUCCUCUGCCAGGUAGAAGGCACUGAGCAAGGGCAGUUCCAAGUGUGCUGACAAGAAGUUGGCAAAUUUUCAACAGAGUCUGGGGUAAAUGGCUUUUAGGGGUCUAUGAUUGUUUUUGAAUGUUCAGAACAGGGAACAGACAGGGCCUGCCUUGGAAAGGCAGGUGUCAACAUGGCAGGGAUGUGUUUAUAGUUGUUCACGGGACCUUUAGAGUACCAUGUGUGUCGCGAUGGCAUUCCAGUGAGCUGACUGUGGUGGGGUUUGUCAUAAUUGAGGCUUUUUCUCUGACGAGCCAGUUGUUAAACCCUUGCCAGGGCAGUGCUGUUACUGUGUUCAAUGGUGACAUAGAGCAAAUGUCAGUCAUGUUGACUAUCUAGCUCCAGCAGACACGCCAGUAUAAAUCUCCUUCAAGGGUGCAUCUACGCAUUAAAUGUUAACAAAAACAGGCUUCUUUAAAGUCCGUCUUUGGCUUCUUCGGUGCUUGUUCUUGGAAGUGGGCUCUCCUGUGGAAUUGGGACUGCUUGAGAAGGCAGGUGAGAGCAUCCAGCAGGCACUGCUCACUCCUGUGCGAGUCUGCAGCUCUCUGGGAUCCUUGCCCCUUCCCUUACCUGCAGAGAAUGGCAGCUGCUGGAAAAAGCAUUUGCUCCCACACUCAGAAUAUCUAGCCAGAUGUUUUCUGUUGUAUUUGGACGCUCUCCUGGGAUUAGCUCAUCAGAGUGAAAGGAAGAUAAAGGCAGCUGAGGCUUGACAGUCAGCUGCCUUGUACUGCCUCCCCCUAUUUCUUCUGCAUGCCUACUUAGUGUCUUCUUGCUAGCCCCAGACAGCCUUGGUUUCUCUCUGGGGAUCCUCUAGCCCAUGCUCCUGCAGGGUCUUCCACUGGUCUUUCUACUUGUAAACACCCGUGCUCCCAAACGAAAUGACUCCUCACUUGGAGCACACCCUGCAUUCUCUUAUCUUUGUUCUUGAUAAAGCAAAUGUGUCUGGUGCUGUUGACAAUGUCUAGGGGUCUGGUUUGGUGUUCAGUGUGAACCUCGUGAACUUCAGAUUGUCCAUUGGUUGUUUUGUUUUCUCUUCUAGAAAUCUGUCUUUACCAAUGUUCUCACUGCUUGUUUUGUUUUUAAGGUUGCCUGCUCCUUCUUUUUAUAUUCAGGAAAUGUCAUAGCUGCUCAGAUGGCUUAGUGAAUAAUGUAUGGAAAGUUAUCUUUUGUCUCCAUUGUUAACUCUGUGAUUUCUGGAUGUGGCUCUUCUAUUUGCUAGUUAUUGUGUCUUUUCAUGCACAAGUUUUUUGUUUUUUGGGUUUUUGUUUUUGUUUUUUGUUUUUCUGGAAAAAUUGACAGUUCUUUACAGGCAGUUUCUAGUACUGAGCACUUUAUGUAAGCGAUAUUGUGAAGAAGAGUGAAACUUCCUGACUGCCCAGAGGCUGGUGCUCUAACUUGGAAAACCUGCUUCUGGUGGCUAUCAGGAGGAAGAGUGGAGAUGCACCUGGGAGCCAGGAUCUCUUCUCAAGACUCGGGUGACUUUCUUCUACUUACAAAGACUAAUUUCUUGAUUUAGGAAUUCAUUCUUCAUUCUCAUCUGCUGUGCACAGUUCCCACUCCUCUGUUGUGAUUGUGAGUCUCAUCUUCCAUCCCUGCCACAAAUGCUCAUGGAUACAAGAGGAAGUGAUGAAGACACAUGGUCUCAGCAAUCCCAACCCUGAAAUUUGUGUCCUUUUAUAUAAAAUAGUAUAUUUGUGGCUAUAACUUAGAAAAAUAGAGUUGAACUAUAUAGCACCAUGAACAUUUUCAGUUCAGUGGUCUGAAAAUAUAUGAUUGAUAAAAUGGGAUUAAUCACACAAAAUACCAAGAGUUUGUGAUUAGGAAACCUAACAUGGGCCUGCUUGUCUACUCCACAUUUUCCUACUUUAAACAAAAGAAAAUUCUAUUUUUAUGUAAGCUUAUUAUAAGGUUUGAGACACAUCAGAAAGAAUUGUAUAAUUUUUAUUUCUUUCUUAAAAUUUUUAAAACAUUUAGCCAUGUAUUAAGUGACUUUUACUUUAUUUUAUUUAUAUUUUAAUAGGAAACCAUUCUGAAAUAAUCUAUGAAACAUUUUUUGGAGCUAGAGUAAUUGGAAUCUAUACUUUAAUAUUGGAUAAAAUUUAAUCCAUCUGAUAUAAUAUACAAUGUCUAGUCCUUUUUAUUGGGUGUAACUUAUAAUAAUUUUAAUUGCUAUAAAUAAUGUUGCAAUAAAUGUUUCUGUCUAUAUAGCU